CGCCGCGUGAGGGACGAAGGCUUCUGAUUUGUAAACCUCUUUCGGUAGGAACGAUUGUGACGGUACCUACAGAAGAAGCACCGGACAACUAUGUGCCAGCAGCCGCGGUGAUACAUAGGGUGCAAGCGUUAUUCGGAUUUAUUGGGCGUAAAGAGCUCGUAGGCGGUUCGAUCAGCCGGGUGUGAAACCCCCAGGCUUAACCUGGGGCAGCCACUCGAAACUGUCGUGACUAGAGUUUGGUAGGGGAUCACGGAAUUCCUGGUGUAGCGGUGGAAUGCGCAGAUAUCAGGAGGAACACCAGCAGCGAAGGCGGUGAUCUGGGCCAAUACUGACGCUGACGAGCGAUAGCGUGGGGAGCGAACAGGAUUCGAUACCCUGGUAGUCCACGCCGUAAACGGUGGGCACUACGUGUGGGGACUUUCCACCCGUUUCCGCGCCGCAGCUAUCGCAUUAAGUGCCCCGCCUGUGGAGUACGGCCGCAAGGCUAAAGCUCUAUGAAAUUGACCGGGGGCCCGCACAAGCGGCGGUAGCAUGCGGCUUACU
rnacentral:rRNA from 1 species